rnacentral:tRNA from 1 species
GCGCACGUGGCGGAAUUGGUAGACGCGCUAGCUUGAGGGGCUAGUGAGAGUAUUCUCGUGGAAGUUCGAGUCUUCUCGUGCGCA